GAGGGUGUAGCUCAGUGGCAGAGUGCCUGCUUAGCACGCAUGAGGUCCUGAGUUCAGUCCCCGGUACCUUUG
rnacentral:tRNA from 1 species